rnacentral:rRNA from 1 species
AUGAACGCUGGCGGCGUGCCUCAUACAUGCAAGUCGAGCGAACAGAUGAGGAGCUUGCUCCUCUGACGUUAGCGGCGGACGGGUGAGUAACACGUGGAUAACCUACCUAUAAGACUGGGAUAACUUCGGGAAACCGGAGCUAAUACCGGAUAAUAUAUUGAACCGCAUGGUUCAAUAGUGAAAGACGGUUUUGCUGUCACUUAUAGAUGGAUCCGCGCCGCAUUAGCUAGUUGGUAAGGUAACGGCUUACCAAGGCAACGAUGCGUAGCCGACCUGAGAGGGUGAUCGGCUACACUGGAACUGAGACACGGUCCAGACUCCUACGGGAGGCAGCAGUAGGGAAUCUUCCGCAAUGGGCGAAAGCCUGACGGAGCAACGCCGCGUGAGUGAUGAAGGUCUUCGGAUCGUAAAACCCUGUUAUUAGGGAAGAACAAAUGUGUAAGUAACUAUGCACGUCUUGACGGUACCUAAUCAGAAAGCCACGGCUAACUACGUG